UUCGCCCUUUUCCGGUUGAUCCUGCCGGAAGCUACUGCUAUCGGAAUUCGAUUAAGCCAUGCGAGUCGAGAGGGUUCGGCCCUCGGCUGACGGCUCAGUAACACGUGGAUGACCUGCCCUCAGGUAGGGGAUAAUCUCGGGAAACUGAGGAUAAUACCCUAUAAACAUCCUUUGCUGGAAUGCUUGGAUGUUCAAAGGCAACGCCUGAGGAUGGGUCUGCGGCCUAUCAGGUUGUAGUGGGUGUAACGGACCCACUAGCCCGCGACGGGUACGGGCCUUGAAAGAGGUAGCCCGGAGAUGGACUCUGAGACACGAGUCCAGGCCCUACGGAGCGCAGCAGGCGCGAAAACUUCGUAAUGCGGGAAACCGUGACGAGGGAAUUCCGAGUGCUCAUACAAUGUAUGGGCUUUUCUUAUGUGUAAAAAGCAUGAGGAAUAAGGGCUGGGUAAGACCGGUGCCAGCCGCCGCGGUAAUACCGGCAGCUCUAGUGGUAGCCACUUUUAUUGGGCCUAAAGCGUCCGUAGCCGGUCGGGUAAAUCCUUGGGUAAAUCGUACAGCUCAACUGUGCGGCUUCCGGGGAGACUGCCCGAC
rnacentral:rRNA from 1 species